rnacentral:lncRNA from 1 species
AGAGGGGCCGAGGACAAGGCGAGAGGCUCCCCCAAGACAGAAUCCCCCGCAGCGUCAGCCUGGAGACCUCUGCAGCAGCCCUGGGACGCCCCGCGGCCCCCGACGAGCAGAGCCCGGACCCAGGGGCAGUGCUGCUGCUGAGAACCACUUUCUGCCGCUUCCUUCCACACCCCGGACUACCCCGCUCCCUCAGAACAGUAAGUUGCACUGGCUAAAUCACAUCCUCCCACGAGGAAACCUCCCAGCCUGCAGCCCAGGACACCAAAAGGAAGAGUUUGCUGCCUUUCCUUUGGGAGCAUGCUCCAGCGCUGAACCUCCAUCUGGGAAAACACACUUGCUUUUGGAUUUCCUGGGCAUCCACCUCUAGCAAUGCCCAUCACACCCCGUGGCCUCCGCAACGUGCCCACGAGGGCCCCUGCUCGGGGCUGGGCAGGGCGCCCCCCUGCCACGCGCACGGCUAACACAGCACUCAUCCCUCCCCACUUCCCAAAUUCCUGUUACGAGAUGUGUCGCAGACUGGCUCAAGUCCUGCAGCUAGGUUUCCUGGAAGAUAAAAACCUCUUCCUUUCUUUCAAGGCAGCACAAAAUUGCAGACGUUGGCUUGGUGGUUUGUGACAUAGUUUUGCCCUACUUCAGAAAUCUUGUUUUCCGUGCCACAGAAAAGCAGGGCAGCUCUUGCAAGCUGAUCAGUUCCCGAACAGCCGUUUUCCUCUGUGAACUCUAGCACCUCCUCGGAGGCAAUGACCGUGGUGAAUGCGUGCUUAUGUGGGCAGCACCCUGCCACAUUCAGAAAAUCUUUCUCCCCUGCUAUGAAACAGCCACGCCCCCAGGCCCUUCCUGCCACACACAUGCCACAAACCUCCCGUCACUUGCACUGGGAAAGCCCCAGGAGGUUCUGCAGUGGUGGCAGUGGGAGAAGCAUCUCCCCCCACAGAACAGCAGGAGAGUCCCGCUCCUCCAGGGUCAGACAUCAACCCCAAGACCCAGCGUGGCUGGCAACAGGCACAGCACGAACUAAGACCCAGUGUGGCUGGCAACAGGCACAGCACGAACUGAACCCACAGCAGCUUCUGCAGUCGGACCCUACCAUCCACCCAAAGAGCAACAGGUUCCCCUGGCCGUGCUAGGAGGAGCUCUGCAGCCCCACCAAGCACAGGAUGCGUCCCACAGCCUCAGCAAGACCCUGCAGGAGUUAGAGGGACGGUGGCACCGUGGAGUCGCUGACAUCCAAUAUCCAUACAGCUGUACAGCAGCUGCUGGCUCUGCUUUUGCUGCUCAUCAUCUCCACUUUAGCUGCACAAAUGGAGAAGGAGCAGGAACUUACAUCACGGGCUGAACAUCUUUUCCAUUCAGAGUUCAGUCACUAAAUUGGAAGAAGGGGGCCGUGAGCAUCUGUGCCUCAGUCAUCUCUCACCCCAUGAUGGUGUGCUUUAUCUAGAGCGACACUACCUCGGGCAAAUAAUUCGAAACCCAAAAGGCUGGCAGCAGGCGGAGACCAAGACUCUAGAUAGAGCCAAAGGCCCUGAGCACCAGGACGUGGAUUAGGGAAGAGGCGACCAGAUGCCCCAAGGAAAUCGCAGCCCGAGCAGCGGAGGGCCAGAGCCCCAAGGCCCGAGGGAAGCUCCGGCCAGCAGGAAAGGCCUGCUCACGCGUCCCCCGUUCCCCAGCGCCCGAGAGGGCCCUUCGGGGCAACUCCGCACCCGCGCUG